rnacentral:rRNA from 1 species
AUUACACAUGCAAGACUCCCCGCGCCAGUGAGAAUGCCCUUAACAUCAGCCCAGAUCAAGAGGAGCAGGCAUUAAGCACACCAACUGGUAGCUCACAACGCCUUGCUUACCCACGCCCCCAAGGGACACAGCAGUGAUAAGAAUUCAGCAAUGAACGUAAGUUCGACUGAGCUAUGCUACUCUAGGGUUGGUAAAUUUCGUGCCAGCCACCGCGGUCAUACGAUUAACCCAAACUAAUAAAACUCCGGCGUAAAGCGUGAUUAGAAGCAAACAAAAAAUAAAAUCAAAUAGCGUCUGAACUGUAAAAAGUACAAGCCGCGAACAAAAAUAGUCAACGAAAGUGAUCUUACAAUUUUCGAACUCACGAUAGCUAAGACCCAAACUGGGAUUAGAUACCCCACUAUGCCUAGCCCUAAACUUCAAUAAUUUCAUAACAAAAUUACUCGCCAGAGAACUACAAGCCAGGGCUUGAAACUCAAAGGACUUGGCGGUGCUUCACACCCACCUAGAGGAGCCUGUUCUAUAACCGACAAUCCCCGAUAAACCCCACCACUCUUUGCCAACUCAGCCUAUAUACCGCCAUCUCCAGCAAACCCUAAAAAGGAAUAAAAGUGAGCUCAAUUACCCCAUAAAAACGUUAGGUCAAGGUGUAGCCCAUAGAGUGGAAAGUAAUGGGCUACAUUUUCUACCCUAGAAUAUACGGAAGCCCCUAUGAAAGCUAGGGGCCGAAGGAGGAUUU